GACGAACGCUGGCGGCGUGCUUAACACAUGCAAGUCGAACGGUAAGGCCCUUCGGGGUACACGAGUGGCGAACGGGUGAGUAACACGUGGGUGAUCUGCCCUGCACUUCGGGAUAAGCCUGGGAAACUGGGUCUAAUACCGGAUAGGACUCCUGCCUGCAUGGGUGGGGGUGGAAAGCUUUUGCGGUGUGGGAUGGGCCCGCGGCCUAUCAGCUUGUUGGUGGGGUGAUGGCCUACCAAGGCGACGACGGGUAGCCGGCCUGAGAGGGUGACCGGCCACACUGGGACUGAGAUACGGCCCAGACUCCUACGGGAGGCAGCAGUGGGGAAUAUUGCACAAUGGGCGCAAGCCUGAUGCAGCGACGCCGCGUGAGGGAUGACGGCCUUCGGGUUGUAAACCUCUUUCAGCACCGACGAAGCGCAAGUGACGGUAGGUGCAGAAGAAGGACCGGCCAACUACGUGCCAGCAGCCGCCGUAAGAC
rnacentral:rRNA from 1 species